rnacentral:rRNA from 1 species
UACGAAGGGAGCUAGCGUUGUUCGGAAUCACUGGGCGUAAAGCGCACGUAGGCGGACGUGUCAGUCAGGGGUGAAAUCCCGGCGCUCAACGUCAGAACUGCCUUUGAUACAGCACGUCUUGAGUCCGGAAGAGGUGGGUGGAAUUCGUAGUGUAGAGGUGAAAUUCGUAGAUAUUAGGAAGAACACCGGUGGCGAAGGCGGCCCGCUGGUCCGGUACUGACGCUGAGGUGCGAAAGCGUGGGGAGCGAACAGG